GGGGGGAUACAUGAGAUUAGACUCAUCGUCAUUGUCAUCAUAUUCUGAUAGUAUCUCACUCUUGGCCACCAAAGUAGUAGCUUUAAUGU